rnacentral:rRNA from 1 species
CGUAACGCGUAUGCAACCUACCUCAUACAGGGGGAUAGCCCGAAGAAAUUCGGAUUAAUACCCCAUGGCAUUACAGAUUCGCAUGAUGAAGUAAUUAAAGAUUUAUCGGUAUAAGAUGGGCAUGCGUCUGAUUAGAUAGUUGGUGAGGUAACGGCUCACCAAGUCGACGAUCAGUAGGGGUUCUGAGAGGAAGAUCCCCCACACUGGCACUGAGAUACGGGCCAG